GAGUUUGAUUCUGGCUCAGGAUGAACGCUGGCGGCGUGCCUAACACAUGCAAGUCGAGCGCGACUGAUUUGAUGCUUGCAUCGAUGAAAGUUGAGCGGCGGACGGGUGAGUAACGCGUGGGCAACCUGCCCUGUACACAUGGAUAACAUACUGAAAAGUUUACUAAUACAUGAUAAUAUAGUUUUUCGGCAUCGAAGAAUUAUCAAAGUGUUAGCGGUACAGGAUGGGCCCGCGUCUGAUUAGCUAGUUGGUGAGAUAACUGCCCACCAAGGCGACGAUCAGUAGCCGACCUGAGAGGGUGAUCGGCCACAUUGGAACUGAGACACGGUCCAAACUCCUACGGGAGGCAGCAGUGGGGAAUAUUGCACAAUGGGCGCAAGCCUGAUGCAGCAACGCCGCGUGAACGAUGAAGGUCUUCGGAUCGUAAAGUUCUGUUGCAGGGGAAGAUAAUGACGUACCCUGAGAGCC
rnacentral:rRNA from 1 species